UGCGUAGGCGGGUUUCUAAGUCAGAGGUGAAAGCCUGGAGCUCAACUCCAGAACUGCCUUUGAUACUGGAAGUCUUGAGUAUGGCAGAGGUGAGUGGAACUGCGAGUGUAGAGGUGAAAUUCGUAGAUAUUCGCAAGAACACCAGUGGCGAAGGCGGCUCACUGGCCAUUACUGACGCUGAGGCACGAAAGCGUGGGGAGCAAACA
rnacentral:rRNA from 1 species